rnacentral:rRNA from 1 species
AUUGAACGCUGGCGGCAGGCCUAACACAUGCAAGUCGAGCGAGCGGCGGACGGGUGAGUAAUGUAUGGGGAACUGCCUGAUGGAGGGGGAUAACUACUGGAAACGGUAGCUAAUACCGCAUACCAUCGGAUGUGCCCAGAUGGGAUUAGCUAGUAGGUGGGGUAACGGCUCACCUAGGCGACGAUCCCUAGCUGGUCUGAGAGGAUGACCAGCCACACUGGAACUGAGACACGGCCCAGACUCUUACGGGAGGCAGCAGUGGGGAAUAUUGCACAAUGGGCGCAAGCCUGAUGCAGCCAUGCCGCGUGUGUGAAGAAGGCCUUCGGGUUGUAAAGAACUUUCAGCGGGGAGGCGUUACCCGCAGAAGAAGCACCGGCUAACUCCGUGCCAGCAGCCGCGGUAAUUC